rnacentral:rRNA from 1 species
CUAUUCUCAAACUUUAAAUAUGUAAGAAGUCCUUGUUACUUAAUUGAACGUGGACAGUUGAAUGUAUCGUUACUAGUGGGCCAUUUUUGGUAAGCAGAACUGGCGAUGCGGGAUGAACCGAACGCGGGGUUAAGGUGCCAGAAUAUACGCUCAUCAGACACCACAAAAGGUGUUAGUUCAUCUAGACAGCAGGACGGUGGCCAUGGAAGUCGGAAUCCGCU